CCUACGGGAGGCAGCAGUGGGGAAUAUUGCGCAAUGGGCGAAAGCCUGACGCAGCGACGCCGCGUGAGGGAUGAAGGUCUUCGGAUCGUAAACCUCUGUCAGCAGGGAAGAACGGUCACUGUGCUAAUCAGCAGUGAAUUGACGGUACCUGCAAAGGAAGCACCGGCUAACUCCGUGCCAGCAGCCGCGGUAAUACGGAGGGUGCGAGCGUUAAUCGGAAUUACUGGGCGUAAAGCGCUCGUAGGCGGUAUGUCAAGUCAAGGGUGAAAUCCCCGCGCUCAACGUGGGAACUGCCUUUGAAAACGGGAAACCGGGGGGUUGGAGGGGAUAGUGGAAAUUCAGGUGGUGGAGUGAAAACCGG
rnacentral:rRNA from 1 species